CAGGUAGACAUAUGGGGACUCUUUCUGGGAUUUGAAGACUCUGUGUCCAGCCAGACACCAUUUUUGACCUCCAGGUGCUUGGAGCCAGCAGGAAUCUUUUGUGUUCCAGUCUGGACUCAAAUUCUGAAGCCUGGGCCAACGCUUGGAAGUAUGAUUGUUACAAUUAAUUUCUAAUGAAAAUGCAAAAAGAUGCACCUCCCCACCUUCUAGAUCAUGACUUUCACCAGAUAUCCAGAACUAUGAUUUAGUUCUCUCCCCAUAAUGAUAUCCAGCUCUCCCAAUUUCUGAAAAACUCUCUGCUUUCCCCCAUACCCUGACAGUCUCUGUAUUUAUCUGCUCUUCUCCACCCCUGAAGAAGUCCCAUCCCCUUAAUUCUUCUGAUAUUGGAAACAUUCUUAGUGACUCUCCAAUCCAAAUUCCAUUGGAGCCUCUAAACCUCUUCCUGUGGUCUUACAGUAUUUCUAAAGUAUUGAGAGCCCUCAAGCCAGCCACUUUUCUCCCUGUCAAAGGAUGAGAACUCUGACUACCCUCAGGAUUGUGAUUGUAUUAAAAUGACUGACUUUAUUUUAACCUCCCAAGAAGAUCUGCAAGAAACUGAGAUAGAAAACCUGGAUUAUUCCUGGUACACUUAUGGUCCCUGUCUCCAAAAUGAUGCUGGUUAUGCUAUCACCACCACUGAGGAGGUCAUUGACCCCUUCUUUUGGCUUCCUCAGCACAAAAGGCUUAAUUUGAAGUCCAAGCUUGUGAAUUAGCAAAAGGAAAACAAGUGAAUAUUUACUCAGAUAGCAGUCAUUUUCUAGAGGCUCAACCUUAAAUCAGGCUACCCUACAGUUGGAACCUGGAGAUGGAGUCUUCUGGAAAAGGCACCUACAUAGCUCUUUGUGGGGGCAAAGAGUUGGAAAUCGAGGGAAUAUCCAUCAAUUGGGGAAUGGCUAAACAAGUUGUGGUAUAUGAAUGUAAUGGAAUACUAUU